rnacentral:hammerhead_ribozyme from 1 species
AUGCAGCUGAUGAGCCCCAAAUUGGACGAGGCGCGCGUCCUGAAU